ACAGACAAACAUGUAGGCAAAACAGCCGUGCACAUAAAAUAGAAAUAAAUACGUCUUCACAUGUGUGUCAGUAGGUGGCAGAGAGGAGAUGCUGUCUACACUCAGUGUUGUGACCUGUGGCCAUCUGGAUGAUUAGUAGCCGAAUAGU
rnacentral:snoRNA from 1 species